UUGUUUUAAAUUUACCCCAAAAAAAAAAAAAGUUGUGUUUGAGGUGGGUGAGAAUAUAUGUUUUAUACUUGUUGCUAUUGACAGAGACACGGUGGAUGGACUUGGGGUGGAGGCAACCUUAGCAGUAUGUCUGCUUCAGUGUCAACUCUUGGGGACAGUGGUUGGUUAAUACAUGUUCAAAGUGUCUUGGCUGGUUCUGCUUGGAUUGCUGCCCGUGUUGCUUUGGAGUCGGCAUCGGUGCUUGUGCAUUGUAGUGAUGGAUGGGACAGAACUACUCAGCUGAUUUCGCUUGCCAAUUUGCUGCUUGAUCCAUACUAUCGGACAGUCACAGGAUUUCAGGUAUCUGCUGGACAUAAUUGGACAGGUUUUUUUUUUUGGACAGUUAAAGUUGUAUUUUUAUCUGUGGUCCUCGAGUCAUAUUAGGCUUAGAAAAUUCUUUCUAAGCUGUUAUCAUUUAUGAUCCUAGUUUUUCUUCAA